GGGGCCGGGCUGAACCAUGGCGGGCGGCGGCAUGGGGGCGGUGGGGCUCCGCGGGCAGCCUGGUUGCGCUGCACCCGGACGGGGCCGAGGGGACCUGAAAGCUGCGGCAGAGCCUGACCGCGCCGUUCUCCAGAAGAGCCCCGGCCGCGGCUGAGUCGCGCUCCGGGUGUGGACGGAGCCGGAGCCUCCCCGGGGCUCGGUGAGGACACAGGGCCCAAGCCCCGGACCUUCAAGUCUUGACCGAGCGCAUCCCCGGCCCUUCUGCGCCCACACCUGAGUUUUUGUCUGUAGGAGUUUCCGCAGUUUGCUAAGAAUCGACAUCUAGAGGAGUACUCACCACUUAAUUGAUGAUCAAUACACGUUCCUUGAAAGAACCGAUAGCAUGCGAUCGAUACAGAGCAUCUGCACUGGGAUUGUCCGCCCCGCCUGUCAGGGAGGCCUCGGGGGCUAAUGGAGCUGAGGAAAAUCGUUGAAUCCAUCUGUGACCUGGACACCUUCCACCUGCAUCCAUGGAGUUGUGUCACCUUUCUGGACCAAACCACUGGACACCUUACAUGUAUCGAUUGGCAACAUGUACACCUCCACACACUGCUAAAUGACAAAGCCGAAUUUUGAAAUACGAUACUGUGAGGUGUUUGGAGAAGAGAACUGAAAUGACGUCAUGGAGGUGGCAGGGGAUCGUCUUGCCCUUUUCUUAUUUUCUGCCUGUAACUUCUGUCCCCCUAAAAUGCAUAAAAUCCAGCUAGAACCCAACCACCUUAUGCAGCAGUUCUUAGGACCUCAUGGGGCUGUGUCAUCAAUCAAAGUCCUCAUAUUUGGCUCAGAAUAAAUCUCAUCAACUAAUUUACAAAUUUGACUCUUUGUGUUGACAAGUCUGUCUUACCGUUCUUUAAUAAGGGCCGUGUAUAAUGUUUUCUUUAGCAAGUGUGGCAAAAUUAAACCUUAGAAAUAAAGAGAAAAAGAACUCAUUAUAGAAAACUGU
rnacentral:lncRNA from 1 species